AUUGAGUUGAUAAGUUUUUCCACUAUAUCUGUGUUGACAUUAAAUCCACAGAUAGUGGUAAGACUUGACCAACUUGUG